rnacentral:rRNA from 1 species
GACGAACGCUGGCGGCGUGCUUAACGCAUGCAAGUCGAACGAAGUGGCGAACGGGUGAGUAACGCGUAAUCAAACUGCCCUUCAGAGGGGGAAAACAGUUGGAAACGACUGCUAAUACAGCAUACUGAAGGAGGGGAUUGCGUCUGAUUAGCUAGAUGGAGGGGUAACGGCCCACCAAGGCGAUGAUCAGUAGACUGUCUGAGAGGAUGAACGGCCACAUUGGGACUGAGACACGGCCCAGACGCCUACGGGAUGCAGCAGUGGGGAAUCUUCCGCAAUGGACUAAAGUCUGACGGAGCAACGCCGCGUGAGGGAUGACGGCCUUCGGGUUGUAAAGCUCUGUUAAUCGGGACGCGGUACCGGAAUAGAAAGCCACGGCUAACUACGUGCCAGCAGCCGCGGUAAUUC